GUGUCAGCAGCCGCGGUAAGACAGAGGGUGCAAACGUUGCUCGGAAUCACUGGGCGUAAAGGGCGUGUAGGCGGGAAGGUAAGUCGGGCGUGAAAUCCCUGGGCUCAACCCAGGAACUGCACUCGAAACUACUUUUCUUGAGUGCCGGAGAGGAAAGCGGAAUUCCUGGUGUAGAGGUGAAAUUCGUAGAUAUCAGGAGGAACACCAGUGGCGAAGGCGGCUUUCUGGACGGUAACUGACGCUGAGACGCGAAAGCGUGGGGAGCAAACAGGAUUAGAUACCCUGGUAGUCCACGCCGUAAACGAUGAGCGCUAGGUGUCGUGGGUAUUGACCCCCGCGGUGCCGAAGCUAACGCAUUAAGCGCUCCGCCUGGGAAGUACGGUCGCAAGACUAAA
rnacentral:rRNA from 1 species